AUGUCUUUAUACAAAUCAUUUCAAAAUAAUGCUGAUUGAGUGACGUAUCUGUUUAUAGUUUCUUUUUUUCUUUAACCGUUAUCACUCGCAGCUUUACGAAUCUGUCAACAAUCUGCAGCAUUGAAUCAUUGAAAUACAUCUUUCAAGAUGUAUGAAUGUAGUCAUGUAUGCUUGAUUGCGUGUAUGCGUGUGAGCGUGCGUGGAUGGUUUGAUGUGGAUGCUGCUUGAACGAACAGAGUGUCGGUCGGGUAGGUAAGAGGUUGUAGCUUUCUCGUUAAGUUAAGGAGACACAUACAUGUUUUGCUGAAUACAUUAAACAAUGAGAUGAAAUUUUCAUGCGCUUCCUGAAAGGAAAUUGAUAAAAUGUUGUUUAAGAAAAUAUAAGUUAUUGUUUUGUCAGCCAACAUGUUACCUCCCAGCAUUUUCGCAUUUGUUAUUCUUCAAGUCCAAAUCAAAUGUAUAUUGUUGUACGAAAUGUAGGCCCUAUCACAGUCUAGUAAGCAUUUAGACAAAUUGGCAUUGGUCUCAUGAAUAAAUCAAAUUGAUUCUUAAGCUUAAAUACUGUUUGUUGCAGAGAUGGAACGAAGAAUUAGCAAGACAAGCCCAGAGAUAUGCAAACAGAUGUCAGUUCAGAUACUCAUCAAGACCUGA